rnacentral:lncRNA from 1 species
GUAUAACUAAAUAGAAAGCUACAUUUAUUCUCUAACUUGUUGUAAAUUGGUCAUGAGCAUUGCAUUAUUUUACACUAAGAAGCUAAACCACCUUAUUUUUCUUAUGCCGGUAACAAUUGCCUUCACUUGCUUUUUUUUGAUACAUGGAGGAUAAUUAGGAAGUUUCAUAACAAUUUGAAAGUUUGAAGUAAUUCUCAUGAUCG